rnacentral:lncRNA from 1 species
AAUAAUUUAGUCUAGCGUAUUUAUCAAAAAAUUAUGUUAUAUUAGUUGAACUUUAUAAUUUGUAGUUAUUUUAUGCUAUUUUAUGUUAAUGAAUAAAAAAAAUAAAAUCGGGGGCGCUGCCCCCGAACCCCCGUCAAUGUUAAGCCCACCCACCCAUGUAAUUUAGUGUAGCUUAUAUUAGCUUAAAUUUAUAAAUUUGUAGUUAUUUUGUGCUAUAUAUUUAUGUGAAUGAAUCAAAACAAAAAUCGAGGGUGCUGGCCCCCGAACCCCCGUUAAUGUUAAGCCCACCCUGUCUUGAAGUUCUGGCUCCGCCACUG